GUGCCUAAUACAUGCAAGUCGAGCGAACAGAUAAGAGCUUGCUCCUCUGACGUUAGCGGCGGACGGGCGAGUAACACGUGGAUAACCUACCUAUAAGACUGGGAUAACUUCGGGAAACCGGAGCUAAUACCGGAUAAUAUAUUGAACCGCAUGGUUCAAUAGUGAAAGACGGUUUUGCUGUCACUUAUAGAUGGAUCCGCGCCGCAUUAGCUAGUUGGUAAGGUAACGGCUUACCAAGGCAACGAUGCGUAGCCGACCUGAGAGGGUGAUCGGCCACACUGGAACUGAGACACGGUCCAGACUCCUACGGGAGGCAGCAGUAGGGAAUCUUCCGCAAUGGGCGAAAGCCUGACGGAGCAACGCCGCGUGAGUGAUGAAGGUCUUCGGAUCGUAAAACUCUGUCAUUAGGGAAGAACAAAUGUGUAAGUAACUAUGCACGUCUUGACGGUACCUAAUCAGAAAGCCACGGCUAACUACGUGCCAGCAGCCGCGGUAAUACGUAGGCGGCAAGCGUUAUCCGGAAUUAUUGGGCGUAAAGCGCGCGUAGGCGGUUUUUUAAGUCUGAUGUGAAAGCCCACGGCUCAACCGUGGAGGGUCAUUGGAAACUGGAAAACUUGAGUGCAGAAGAGGAAAGUGGAAUUCCAUGUGUAGCGGUGAAAUGCGCAGAGAUAUGGAGGAACACCAGUGGCGAAGGCGACUUUCUGGUCUGUAACUGACGCUGAUGUGCGAAAGCGUGGGGAUCAAACAGGA
rnacentral:rRNA from 1 species